CAUGCAAGUAGAACGCUGACUACUUUAGCUUGCUAGAGUAGAAGGAGUUGCGUAACGGGUGAGUAACGCGUAGGUAACCUGCCUACUAGCGGGGGAUAACUAUUGGAAACGAUAGCUAAUACCGCAUAACAGUGUUUAACACAUGUUAGAUGCUUGAAAGAUGCAAAUGCAUCACUAGUAGAUGGACCUGCGUUGUAUUAGCUAGUUGGUGGGGUAACGGCCUACCAAGGCGACGAUACAUAGCCGACCUGAGAGGGUGAUCGGCCACACUGGGACUGAGACACGGCCCAGACUCCUACGGGAGGCAGCAGUAGGGAAUCUUCGGCAAUGGGGGCAACCCUGACCGAGCAACGCCGCGUGAGUGAAGAAGGUUUUCGGAUCGUAAAGCUCUGUUGUAAGAGAAGAACGUGUGUGAGAGUGGAAAGUUCACACAGUGACGGUAACUUACCAGAAAGGGACGGCUAACUACGUGCCAGCAGCCGCGGUAAUACGUAGGUCCCGAGCGUUGUCCGGAUUUAUUGGGCGUAAAGCGAGCGCAGGCGGUUUAAUAAGUCUGAAGUUAAAGGCAGUGGCUUAACCAUUGUUCGCUUUGGAAACUGUUAAACUUGAGUGCAGAAGGGGAGAGUGGAAUUCCAUGUGUAGCGGUGAAAUGCGUAGAUAUAUGGAGGAACACCGGUGGCGAAAGCGGCUCUCUGGUCUGUAACUGACGCUGAGGCUCGAAAGCGUGGGGAGCAAACAGGAUUAGAUACCCUGGUAGUCCACGCCGUAAACGAUGAGUGCUAGGUGUUAGGCCCUUUCCGGGGCUUAGUGCCGCAGCU
rnacentral:rRNA from 1 species